CUCCUUUGACGUUAGCGGCGGACGGGUGAGUAACACGUGGGUAACCUACCUAUAAGACUGGGAUAACUUCGGGAAACCGGAGCUAAUACCGGAUAAUAUUUCGAACCGCAUGGUUCGGUAGUGAAAGGUGGUUUUGCUAUCACUUAUAGAUGGACCCGCGCCGUAUUAGCUAGUUGGUAAGGUAACGGCUUACCAAGGCGACGAUACGUAGCCGACCUGAGAGGGUGAUCGGCCACACUGGAACUGAGACACGGUCCAGACUCCUACGGGAGGCAGCAGCC
rnacentral:rRNA from 1 species